rnacentral:rRNA from 1 species
GCAUAUCAAUAAGCGGAGGAAAAGAAACCAACAGGGAUUGCCCUAGUAACGGCGAGUGAAGCGGCAAGAGCUCAAAUUUGAAAGCUGGCUCCUUCGGGGUCCGCAUUGUAAUUUGCAGAGGAUGCUUCGGGAGCGGUCCCCGUCUAAGUGCCCUGGAACGGGCCGUCAUAGAGGGUGAGAAUCCCGUAUGGGACGGGGUGUCCGCGCCCGUGUGAAGCUCCUUCGACGAGUCGAGUUGUUUGGGAAUGCAGCUCUAAAUGGGUGGUAAAUUUCAUCUAAAGCUAAAUAUUGGCCGGAGACCGAUAGCGCACAAGUAGAGUGAUCGAAAGAUGAAAAGCACUUUGAAAAGAGAGUUAAAAAGCACGUGAAAUUGUUGAAAGGGAAGCGCUUGCGACCAGACUCGCCUACGGGGUUCAGCCGGCAUUCGUGCCGGUGUACUUCCCCGUGGGCGGGCCAGCGUCG